GAUGAACGCUGGCGGCGUGCCUAAUACAUGCAAGUCGAGCGAACGGACGAGAAGCUUGCUUCUCUGAUGUUAGCGGCGGACGGGUGAGUAACACGUGGAUAACCUACCUAUAAGACUGGGAUAACUUCGGGAAACCGGAGCUAAUACCGGAUGAUAUUUUUAACCGCAUGGUUCAAAAGUGAAAGACGGUCUUGCUGUCACUUAUAGAUGGAUCCGCGCUGCAUUAGCUAGUUGGUAAGGUAACGGCUUACCAAGGCAACGAUGCAUAGCCGACCUGAGAGGGUGAUCGGCCACACUGGAACUGAGACACGGUCCAGACUCCUACGGGAGGCAGCAGUAGGGAAUCCUCCGCAAUGGGCGAAAGCCUGACGGAGCAACGCCGCGUGAGUGAUGAAGGUCUUCGGAUCGUAAAACUCUGUUAUUAGGGAAGAACAUAUGUGUAAGUAACUGUGCACAUCUUGACGGUACCUAAUCAGAAAGCCACGGCUAACUACGUG
rnacentral:rRNA from 1 species